UGCCCGAUGAGGUCCUCCUUGACUAGCUC
rnacentral:sRNA from 1 species